UUCAUACUUAACUAUAACAAAAAAGAGGAAACCUAAUCUUAUCCUAUACCAGUCAAAUCGACAGCUGGAUACCAUUAGUCAAUGUCCGUUUACAUCACCGACUCAACUUUAAUGAUAGCAGUUUUCAAAGUAUCUUUUAAUUUUUUGCUACCCAUUUCUAAAGGAGUUUCAUCUUCUCUUUUCUCUCAAUCUGGCUGCCUUGGCCGAAGUUUCUCCUGGCAAACGUAAUCUGGAACUCCUCCCAAUAGGUAAUGGCUUUCUCCCCUCUUCAGAGCCUCUUUCGCAAGAACAUGGGCAUAUGUAUUCUCUUUUUUAGGGAUAAACUGAAACCCUAUCUCUUGAAAUUUAACUUUUUUGUUUUGGAUAUCUCUGAUGAGUGCUCCAAUGGCUGAUUUGUCAAGAUCUGUACUUUGGCAUUUCUUUAUAAUCUCCCAUUAUUUCCAGUUUGUUUAAGCUCAUAUAAAUUCCUAAUCUCAUGGCUUGUAAUCCUGCAUGUGCUUCCGUAGCAAACGAAAUUGCUAUAUCGGAGUGAAUGACCGUCUUAGAUGCUAAGAUCUCGCCCCCCACAUCUCGUACAAUCAAACCCGAAGCAUAUUUGAAGGAUUGCUGGUCAAAGGCUGCAUCAAAAUAGAUUGUUACCCUUGUUCUUCGAUUAACAUGUUGAAGGCCUUUGCCAGCCUGAAAGGUGAGUUUCUUUUUUUUUAUUCCAUCCAACUCAGAGAUGUAACUGUAUAUUUGCUUCAAAAUGUAUCUUCCUGUCACAUUUUUUCUUUCAUACAGUAACCGAUUUCUAUUGGACCAGAUUAGCCAAAGCCCGCAACAGAAAAGUCAACAUUGUUCACUAAUCCCUCGACUAAAGACCUAGGUAAGCUAUUCCCACAUACUGUGAAUAUCGUUGUUAAGAACCUAGGAAAGAUAUAAGUAAAUCCAAACAUCCAUUAUAGGAUACUGUCGAAAAAUAUGGUUACUAUCUUCCUUAUAUUGACGACACCGAGGGCAUUGAGCAUCCAUCGCCACUUUCUUAUGCUUAAGGUUGACGAGUAGGAAUAAAAUUCCAGGAGAUUCUCCAUACUGGUAUUGUAACUUUUGAGGGGAUGUAUAAAUUCCAUAGUUUCCUGUAGAAAUUUUUUGUUUCGGCUUGUAUAAUAUAAUUACUAGGACCAAGUUAGUCUCCUGUAAUAGUUUAUAGGCACUUCUGAGAGUUCGCCUCUCCACACUUGAAAAUUGUCAUAUGUUAUCUCCGCCAGAGGAAUCUGCAUGAUUUUUUUUUGCAAUAUCUGUAUGAAAGGUAUUCAUAAUAACAUCUGUUUUCCAGGUCUUGUCAAUAGCCUCAUUUAAAUCCGAUACUAACUUGAUGUUUUCAUUGUUGUCUUGGUUCUGUAAUCUGUCUGCCUCUUCUUCCGAAAUUCAUAAAUCAUCCCAAACGAAAAUUUGAUCCCCCGUUCCAACCCUCCAGCAUAGACCUUUCUACAGAAGUCCUCUUGUUGCCCAUACAUUUUUCCAGGUAAGCGAAGGUAAAUUCCCUAACCUAGCAUUAUAGAAAUUCGAGUUAGGAUAAUAUUUUGCCUUCAAGACACGGGCUAAUAAAGAAUUUGGAAAAUUAAUAAGACGCCAACCCUGCUUUGCUAAUAACACUAUGUUAAAUUUUUCAAAAUUUCGAAAAUCAAGACCACCAUCUUAUUUUAACGAGCAUAGUUCCUGCCAAGCACACCAAUGGAUGCCUUUUUUAUCUCGACCUUUUUGCCACUAAAAUUUAGCUAUAGUACCUUCCAAAUCAGCACAUAAAGAUUUAGGGAGUAAAAAACAAGCCAUAGUAUAAAUUGGAAUGGAUUGUAGUAUAGCCUUUAUGAAAACCUUUUUUCCUCCUUAAGAGAGAUGCCUUAUACUCCAGUUAUCAAUUCGUUGUUCAAAUUUGUCCUUUCAAGACUUGAAAAAACGAUUUCUUGUUUCUUCCCACCAUAUUAGGGAGACCAAGGUACCGUUUUGAGUUAUUUGAUCUACGCACUCCAAGUACAUUAGAAACUAUUAUUUUUUCCCCAUCCUACAUAUUAGUACCGAAAAAUACUGUUCCCUUAUCAAAGUUAACACAAUAAUCUGAACAAAUCUCAUAUUCUUUCAAAAUCUGCUUUAGAGAAUGUGUUCCUCUUUCAGUAUCAUCUGUUUGCUUGUACUCUUCUUAGUAUAUUUUCUUUUAUUGCAAGCCUCAUAAGACUAGAGAGGCCUUCCCCACAAAAUAAAAAUAGAAACGGACUCAAGGGAUCUCCCUGUCUUAAUCCUCUAGUCGGAUGAAAAAUUUCCCCAAUGUGUCCAUUGAAAACCACCGAGUACGAUAUUGUAGAUGCACAUUUCAUUAAAGAAUCAACCCAUCUAGAAUCAAAACCCAUUCUCUUCAUUAUUUCUUCCACAAAAUUUCAUUCAACCCUGUUGUAUGCUUUGUUCAUAUCUAAUUUUACCACCAUAAACCCUUUUUUCCCCACCUUCUUGUGCUUUAAUGUGUGUAAAAUUUCAUAAGCCAGUAACACAUUAUAAAAAAUCAAUCUCCCAGGUACAAAAGCACUUUGUGCUAAAUCAAUACAUUUAUCAACCACUACCCGAAGACGAUUAGCAAUGACUUUAGCUAUCAAUUUAUAAAGCACAUUACAUAAGCUAAUUGGUCUAAAUUGAGUAAUACUAGAAGGGUUUGAAUUUUUCAGUAUUAGCAUAAUAUUUGUUUUAUUGAUCGAAUUUAUAUCCAUAUCUUCAUUCAGUCAUUGAAGACAAAAGGCUGAAAUAUCUUCUCCGAUGAUCGGCCAACACUUUGAUAAAAUAAGGCCGGAAAAUCGUUCUCUCCUGGUGUUUUUGUGGGACCUAAUUCUGAUAAUGCUUCUUGUAUCUCCUCCUUAGUGUAACUCACUUUUAGCCUAAAAUUGUCUUCAUCAGAAAUACAACAAUCGAUCCCUGACAAAAUAUGUACAUAAUUUCCUUACCUCCCAGCUGAAAAUAAUCUCUGAAAAUACGAUCUAGCAAUUUCUUCCAUUUCCCUAACCUUUUCCUUCUCCCUACCAUUAUCAAACUGCAUUUUGCGAAUAAAAUUUCUUCUUCUCCUCUGUGUCGCUUGCUUAUGAAAAAACGUGGUAUUUCUAUCUCCAAAUUUCAGCUAGUUUACUCGAGCUCUCUAUUCCCAGUAGCACUCAUCAUUCUUAAUCUCAAAAUUUAGUUGUAUCUUUGUGUCAGUGAGUUCUGGCAAGUUUUCAUCAUUUCUAUCGGAUUCCAACAAUUUUGUCAAUUUAGAAGUUAAUGCCUCCUUUUUUAUUUUCAUGCUGCACCGAAUUUGAUUAGCCCACCUCUCUAAGCCUUUCUUCAUACUUUCUAACUUGCUCAGUAGAUCUCCUGUGGAAUUCUCCCAAAUGUACCUAACCUCCUCAACAAAUGUUCCCUCCAAAACCCCCAAUCUUCAAACUUAAAACUUUUAUUAAAUUGCCCUUUAACUUCACGUUCUGUAGUAAUGAAUACAGGACAAUGGUUUGAAAAAGAAUGAAGAAGGUGUUGAAUUAAGGAAUCUGAAAAUAAAGAUAUCCAUUCUUCAGUGGCCACUCCUCUAUCUAAUCUUUCUUGAAUGUUCGUUUUCGACAAAUUUCCUCUCCCUAAGUGAGCCAGUUUCCUGAAUAACCCAUAUAAACUAGAUUACAAUCUUCCAAUGCCUUUUGAAAAGCUUUUAUUUGUCUCUCCUCUCGAGGUAAGCCUCCAUUCUUUUCAAAACCAUACAUAAUUUCAUUAAAGUCCCUACAAACUAGCCAUGGAGACUCUCCAUCAUUAUGUAAGUGUCCUAAAAGAUGCUAUGAUUCAUUCUUGUCCUGUGUGUAGGGAGAACCACAAAAACCAGUAAAUCUCCACUUGUUUCUAUCAUCUGUAUCUUCGAUUAUCACAUCAAUAUGUCAGUUUGAAAAACUCUGGAGCGUAAUAUUAACAUCCCCACGCCAUGCUAAACAUAAUCCUCAUCUAAAACCAAUCGAUUCAACAUUGAUACCAUUAUGAAAACCACAACUCCUUUGAACUCUUUCCAUCUGACUUCUGUUAAUUUUUGUCUCCAUGAAGAAGACCAUAUGAGGAUUGUAUAACUUCAGCAAAUGCCGAAGUCUUCGAAAUGCCUGUGUAUUCUCCAAUCCAUGGGCAUUCGAACUUAAGAUUUUUAUUGCGCCCAGUCGGCUUGCCUCUUGGCAGUCGCCGAUGAUAAAUGAUUAAUUUCCAACAACCUUCUAUUUUUAACCACCAUAAUGUUGUUUUCUUCAAUCUCCCCCCAGCUCUCUUUUCCCUCUCCUCUACUAUUAACACAUCAUCUUCUAGAUCAUGAUCCAUUGCAGUUUGAGCUUGACCUGUCAAUAAAUUUUCCUUCAUUGGCGUGAAGAGAACGUUCUUCCUUCCAAAUUAAAACCUAAAAUAGGGUCAAUAACCUUGUAAUACCCUUGUUUUUUGCCUACUCCCCACCCACUGUUGCCUUGUGUUCGUUCGUCUGUGCUGUUUCCACCUAGUACUCCUUCUCCUUCCUCACGUAGCCAAACUCUAUUCAUUGCUUAGGCUCUUCGAGAUUGUGCUCGCAAUGAUUAGUCCCAACCCAUCUAAGUGAUUUCUACCCCUAAUGCCACAUUUGUUUCACAAAAAGAGUCACUAUGACCUAAACGACCACAAUAGAAACAAAAAAGGGAAAUCUUUCAUACUUAAAUCUGACAUAUGAGUAUUUCCCACAAAACAUAACUUGUUUCUUCCUUUUAAGAGGACGCCGAAUAUCUAUUUGGACUUGUAUUCUCAUAAAUUUUGAUUUUCUUUCCCCAGAUUCGAACCAUCAUACUCCAUAAAAUUUCCUAUGAAAUUACCCAAUUGUAUAGCCAGAUUAUCAAAGAAAAAAACCUAUGAGAAUAGCAUGAAUUUGUACCCAGAAAGGUGUUAAAAUUAAAGGGACUUUUAAUGGGUUAUCCCCCACUUGCAGCUUGUAUAACACCAAUAAAUGAUUAUUAAAAGUCCAUGGUGAUCCCUUCAAAACCCUUUCUAUAUUUAUAACAUGAAAAAAUUGAAAUAAAUACCUUUUCUCCCCCAGAUCUCGAAUUUGAACAUCCCGAACAAGGUGCCAUAAGUUAGCCAUAGUGUUUUUCAUUGCUAGGAAGUGAAUAAUACUGGUCGUUAAAAAACACUCCACCAAUCUAAAGGCCCCUUUUUCUCUUUUCGUAUUCGGAUAUACUUGUAUUUGUAAAAUUGCUUCUUCUUCUUCAUUAAGCGUUAAUCUAGCAAAGUCAGUUUCCAUGGAUGCAGAUAAAUUUCAAGAAGCGUGAAAAUCCUUUUCUAAAGACUUAAAUAGGACUUUAAAUAUGGCUGCAGCUGACAAAAAACAGAAAACUCAAUAAAAACCUAAAAACUUGCCAGAGAGAGCAGACAGUUGCAUACUAAGGUAGCAGACUCUUUAGCAUGUAUUUUUUAGACAAGUACAAUACAAUCAAAAUACGUUAUAAAUAAAUAUCCAAGCAACCAUAAAAUAAAAUCAAAGUAAUACAGUACAAAUAGACUAAAACCAAAACAAUCUGGACUAAAACUCAUACAGAGCAAUUACAUAUAGUGGAUUUCAAACUUAAAAACUUUAAGUAUUCAAGAACCCGAGUCCAUUUUUAUUAACUGUGCUAAGGCUUUAUUGGCUCAUAACAAAUUUUUUUGUUUGUUUUUGUUUAUCAAAAAAUUAUUUGCUCAACAUAGCUUAAAUUAAUUUAUUUAUUGAAUUUUCUAAUUAGAUACCUCUAACAAGUGAGUCUUGCCUCAUAAAAAUAGAAUAAAAGUUUAAAUUGUGAAAAAUGCAAUUUUUAAAGACGCUCCUAAGUCCUGAGUCGAAAAGAAUUAGUUUAAAAUGGCUCGAGAUACCUUGGGUCUUCACAAAAACUAGCAAGGUAAAGGGCAUUGAAGCAGUCAAUGUAUGGGCAGAUUUACCAAGUAAUUUCCAUCAUUGCCUAUUUUGCUAUAUCCAAAGCAUACGAUGAAUCUGUACGUUAGAACAGGCUGGCCAGCCAGAAUGCUAGUUGCUUGUGGCUUUGCAUAACCAAAACUUCAGGAAACUAGUUUAGCAUUGUUGAUACGACAAAUCAACAAAGAGAAAAAGGUUGGAAGAGGUGAUCGACGGUUCACCCUUGAAAGGUAGAAAGCCGUCGUAAUGUAAUGAAGUGGUGGAAGAAGGUUGAAAGGAGGAGAGAAUCAAAACUUAGGUGAGAGUUCAUAUAGAGGUGCCACAUGUAAGGAUCAUGUUGGCUGUAAUGCCAGAUCUUGUUUCCAAAUAAAAGUAACAAUAUAACCCUAUAUAUUAGUGAUGUGACAUAAUAAGAUGGCUUAACAAACAAUGAUUGUCCCAUCACAAUUGGCAGAGGUAGUCUAUGACGAAGGUGCGCUCAAUGAUAUGACACGUGGAGGUGUUGCAGAAGUAGGUGUAACAAGCCGCAGAGGGACCAUGAACCGCUUAAAUUGUCUAGUGAAAUUCUAUCUGACGCCUGCAGAUUUGUUGCAAGGCUUAUUUCCUUUUAUUCAAUAUUUGUAAGACAAUUCUGCUAUCAUAUCAUCAGAUACAGUGAGCAAGUAUUGAGAAUGAAUGCAUUAGAAAAAGAAGAAACCAACAAAGGAUCUUAAUAACAAAUUUUUUUUCGAUCAUCUAUCAAAUAAUUCAUAGUAGCCAGAAAAGUUUGAGUUCUCUCUGCUUACAAUCGUACAAAGAAAACACAGAGCACCCUUACCUUAAGGGUUUCUCUUUAGAUCAAAAGCAACUGAACACCUUUCCGAUUUUGAAAUAUAUAAAUACACCAAGCAACCUUACCGGAUUCUUGAAUAUUUGUAGCAUAAACCAAUGCCGGCCUAGUCAUCUCUUCUCUUACUCUCAGCACACACCAGUAUUAGGCCAAUGGCUGGUUAUUGAACCAUGUGGUCCUUUUGGUUGUAGUUUAUCAAACUCGCAUUAUGAGCCAAUGUUACCAAGCUUUGAACAGCAGUGUAAAGAUUCAUUUCGACCAUGAAUUCCACCCCAAAGCACUAAACCAUACAGCGGAAGAGUAAAACAAAUAUCUGAGGCUCGAUUGACAGGAUAGUCCAAACCAACAUCUGAUUUUAGUGCAUUUGCUUCGUUUCUUUCAUUCCUCCUAAAACAUGGGAAGUAUUGGGCAAAUUUGGAAAAUUCAUACAAGACAAAGCUGAAGAUCAAUAGCAUGCUCGCAAUAAUACUACUGUUUCUUUUGUUUUCGAUAGCAUGCUCGCAAUAAUACUACUGUUUCUUUUGUUUUCGACUUGCUUUUUUUGGAUGAGUUGUUCCUUUACUUCUAUAAUCAUUUUGAGCCUGGAUCCAGUCAGAGUGAUACUUGUCAUCAUACGGAACAACCUUCCCAUCAAUGAACGGUUCUCCUGUAAAAUAACCACAAUGCACGUUAACACUCAACUGUUGUCAUAAAGGCAGGAGGAAUUGCAUGCGUGUGACCUUAAUAGAAAAUGGAGGAAGAAAUGCAUGCAUAUUAGAAUAGCAGAACAAAUGGAAACUCAUACUAAUCUGUCAAGAAAACCAUCCAACACAAAGUGUAUGCCAUUCAGCUCUAUCAACUGCUGCGCGUAAAAAAUUCUUCUACUGCCACCAUUUAUGUUAACUGAUAAUGAUUGCUAAGAAAAUAGAACUUAACACCUAAGAAGAAUGAGGAAAACAACAGUAAGCAUCAACAGUUUACUUCCGUAAUGUGAAAUGGAACACUUUGGGGCACAUGAACCACCACACUUCGAUGUCUCAAGGAUUCCCAUCUUCUUCUUUAAUAGCAACAGCAAUACCAACAAGUCCUAAUAGCUGUUAAGUAAUCAACUAGAGAAGCAUCAUCAUCAAUGCUUAAUGACAUUCACUCUACUGCCUUCCCAUUUGUCUUCCAAAAGUACUUUUUAUCAUCCUCAAAAGAAACGAAGUGAAAUUAUUAGUCAUUUUUUUCCCAGCAAUCAAGCAUAAGCAGGACCGGAGUAAUACAAUAGCUUAAUAACAGAGUAAUAAAGCAAAUGAGAAGCAAAGACACUGGAAAGCUAAAACUAACCUCCAUAGCUAUUAUCACCAGGGUCCCCCGAAUAAGAAUCUGGUAAAACCCAUUUCACAUUAGGCAGAGCUGCAACCAACCAACACAAUUCUGUAUUUACUUUACAAACUUGAAAAAGAACGAAUUUGCAAAGGAAAGAAAGACUCACUUUUAAUCUUAAAAACCAAAUCUUCUGGUACUUUGCAACCAAAUGCAUAAUAAUACUUGGUGGAAACAGAGUAUAUAGACUUCUUGGCAUCCUCUUCACUGCGUAUUAAUAGCAAAAAUAUAAAACAAAAAUGAAAAAAUACCCAUUUUAGGACUGCAAAAAGGGGAAAAAGGAGUACGGAUUUUGACCUUCCCAAAGCCAUUGCUAGGGUUUUAAUGUAGGUGUUAACGAUCUCAUCUCGAAGUGGGU
rnacentral:lncRNA from 1 species